ACGAGUACCGGGAAAGAGUCGAAUUUAACUGCUCAAGAACUCGGGAAUCACGGCCUUGUAAAUGUCCUCCUGAAAUUAAUACUGAGCUCAAGAAUCAGUCGGUUACCUAUAACUCGUCGCUUCAGUUCAUUUGCUCUCUAAGCGGUUUCCCUACACCUGAGAUACUCUGGACUAAAGAUGGG